rnacentral:tRNA from 1 species
UGGCUCAGCGGUUAAGAGCACUGGCUGCCCUUCCAGAGGACCUGGGUUCAAUUCCCAG